rnacentral:rRNA from 1 species
UACGGGGGGAGCAAGCGUUGUUCGGAUUUACUGGGCGUAAAGGGCGCGUAGGCGGCGUGACAAGUCACUUGUGAAAUCUCCGGGCUUAACUCGGAACGGUCAAGUGAUACUGUCGUGCUAGAGUACAGAAGGGGCAACUGGAAUUCUCGGUGUAGCGGUGAAAUGCGUAGAUAUCGAGAGGAACACCUGCGGCGAAGGCGGGUUGCUGGGCUGAUACUGACGCUGAGGCGCGAAAACUAGGGGAGCGAACGGG